rnacentral:lncRNA from 1 species
GUUGGUGUUGCAUGUCAAGGGAGCCUGCAGGGGCGGUUCUGCGUGAAAGAAAGUGUAGGAUUGGGGACUGAAUUAUAAGCAGUUGGGAGUACAAGCAUAGAAGUCGGAGGUUGGGGAGAAUUGGGUGAUUGUUGGUGAUGAUUGGUGUCCACCGGAACUGAUUGCAGCGCUACCUUGUAGUUCAGAGAUAGUAUGUCUUGGCAGCAGACUGGUGUAUGUUGCGAUGGUGUAUGCUUGUAUGAGUUGGAAUUUAGUUGAGGUAAAGGACUGAGUUGAGACAGGGGAGGCUGUAGAAGGAUGUGGUGGUGAUAGUUGGAGUGGAUUCAUAUGGCCAGAAAUUCGGCUAUGGCUUACGGAUCCGAGUCGGAUCGAGAGAUGGAUGUUUUAUUAAUUAAUUAUGUAUUAUUAAAUUAUUAUUAAUAUCUGUAUUAUUGUUAUUAUCAGUUCAAUUGAUAAUGACAAUGAUAAGUGAUAUUUUUAAUAAUCUUAAUGAUCAAUAAUUGAUUAAACUAAUUUCUAUUUCUGUUCCGAGUAAUGGUGAAUAAAGGUUGUUCUUGAGAUCGAAUUAUAUGAAUCGUUGAUUAUAUCUUGAAUUGGUUUUGUUAUUGAUAUGGGGUUUGCUCAAUUUUAAAAUACAUGAUGCUC